UGGGGAAUAUUGCACAAUGGGCGCAAGCCUGAUGCAGCCAUGCCGCGUGUGUGAAGAAGGCCUUCGGGUUGUAAAGCACUUUCAGCGAGGAGGAAGGUGGUGAGCUUAAUACGCUCAUCAAUUGACGUUACUCGCAGAAGAAGCACCGGCUAACUCCGUGCCAGCAGCCGCGGUAAUACGGAGGGUGCAAGUGUUAAUCGGAAUUACUGGGCGUAAAGCGCACGCAGGCGGUUUGUUAAGUCAGAUGUGAAAUCCCCGGGCUCAACCUGGGAACUGCAUUUGAAACUGGCAAGCUAGAGUCUCGUAGAGGGGGGUAGAAUUCCAGGUGUAGCGGUGAAAUGCGUAGAGAUCUGGAGGAAUACCGGUGGCGAAGGCGGCCCCCUGGACGAAGACUGACGCUCAGGUGCGAAAGCGUGGGGAGCAAACAGGAUUAGAUACCCUGGUAGUCCACGCUGUAAACGAUGUCGAUUUUGGAGGUUGUGCCCUUGAGGCGUGGCUUCCGGAGCUAACGCGUUAAAUCGACCGCCUGGGGAGUACGGCCGCAAGGUUAAAACUCAAAUGAAUUG
rnacentral:rRNA from 1 species